CCUACGGGGGGCAGCAGUGGGGAAUAUUGCACAAUGGGGGAAACCCUGAUGCAGCGACGCCGCGUGAGUGAAGAAGUAUUUCGGUACGUAAAGCUCUAUCAGCAGGGAAGAAAAUGACGGUACCUGACUAAGAAGCCCCGGCUAACUACGUGCCAGCAGCCGCGGUAAUACGUAGGGGGCAAGCGUUAUCCGGAUUUACUGGGUGUAAAGGGAGCGUAGACGGCAGCGCAAGUCUGGAGUGAAAUCCCAUGGCUUAACCAUGGAACUGCUUUGGAAACUGUGCAGCUAGAGUGCAGGAGAGGUGAGCGGAAUUCCUAGUGUAGCGGUGAAAUGCGUAGAUAUUAGGAGGAACACCAGUGGCGAAGGCGGCUUACUGGACUGUAACUGACGUUGAGGCUCGAAAGCGUGGGGAGCAAACAGGAUUAGAUACCCCUGUAGUC
rnacentral:rRNA from 1 species